CUAAGGGUAACGUCCAGUGAUACUAUUCACUUUUAUAGCUUCUGGGUGGAAUUUUCUAAAGCAUCUUAGUGAAAGGGAGUUUGACUGCCUUCAUGCAUUUCUGAUGCAUGUUUGGCAGCCUUGUGUCUUACUGCAUAUCAGUACUUGUUGCUGUUGAAGCUGUGCCACUUUGUGUGGAGCAUUCCUUAUUUUUUUCAGGGUGCUUAGGCUCUUGGACAGCAACACCCACCACAGCCAGGCUGCAUGCAGAUCUUCUAACAGUCAUCUGGGGUGGAUCGCCACAGAUCUAUGCAUGUACUCCUUCCCAGGACUGACCCUGUAACAGACCUGAGCUCUUAGCUGGAAAGCCUACAUAUAUAUACAGCAAAAUCUGAACGUCCAGCCUGUGUGCACCAAGAUGGCUCCAUGAUGCAAGCUGAAGCGUAUCCUUUCACUCUGCCUUGGCUGACUGCAAAGGACUUUACUGCAGUGAGUUGCUCUUCUGUCUCCCACCUGUUAAACUAGCUAGAGAAUCCAUCCUCCUCGUAGUAUAGACAUUUGUAACAGAAAUACCAAGACUGAUAUGAAUGGAAAUGCACGUGUGUGUGCAUGCAUGUGUGUGAAAGCACCAGAAGAAACAAGCGAGAAAGGAUUAAAGAACAGCCUAUGUUAAUUGCUACACAGCAACAUAUGUGAUUUCAUUCAAAUGACCAAAGAGCAAGAAGAGGAGGAACAAACCUAUCUAAAGAUAAGGUAUAAAGAAGACAAAAAACAGAACUGGAGGCAAUAAAAUAACCAGAUAAGAAAAACCUGGCAACCGUAAUUCAGGAAUUUUGCCAUGGGCUAACAUGGGGUGAGAUAAAAUAAUGAGGCAAAAGAUCCCAAACAACAUCCACAUCUAAAGGCUGUAAAAGACAAGUCCAAAAUUAGUUCAUCAUCACUAAUUAAGAAGAGCUCAAGAGAUGUGAUGAGGACCCAGUAAGUGGUGUCCCCUGUGUGGCACACUAGUGAUCCUGGCCAGACCACCCAGUCAUGCAGGUCGUGGUGCCUGUGAGUAUGUGGAUGCAAGAGAGCCCUGACCUUGCACAACUUCAGAUCCUGGUAAGCAAAGACCAGUUAAGAUACAAGCAGUCUUGCAGGAGCUGAUGAAUCCCUCAAUAAGUGUAUAUGCUGCCAUCAGAGAAAACUGCACUUCUUACUCUUACAGUGUUGACUGGCCUGACUCAUCCUAUUAACGGAUCAUCACUGGGAUCCUCAUCUCUCCUCAGAUUUUUAAAGUCUCUGUGGAUGUUUAGAACUUGAUCUUACUUGUAAUCCCCUGAUCAGUGCACCAUGUGGGUAUCCUAUCACAAUCAUGAGAGCGAGGGAGGCUAAUACAUUCUUAAUUUCUCUCAUGAAGAAAUAAGCUGUCUGUUCAGAAAGUUAAUGUCUCACCUCUUUGAAAUCUGUGUGCGUAGCUAUCAAGACUGCAGGUAAGUGCAGCUGCACUGAGGUCCUCGGGCUGGGCUACAUGCUCAACAUGCAGCAACAGAGAAAAAGGGAACAAAUGCUGGUUUUGUCAAGGUCAGGAAAAUACUGCUACCUGUGUUGCAGGCGGAAAUCCCAAAGCAAGGUGAUUUAUUCUUCCAGAUGUUGAUACUGGUGUGAAACUUGCUAGUACAUACAACAGCCGACACUGUAACCACAUCUGGGCAAACAACAAAGGCCUAAGUGUCUGGCAACAUUUGUGGUUCAUAGAAAAGAUUACGUCACAGCUGUGUUUGCAUAUUGUAACACCAUGAAAAAGACUGAUGAUACCUUGCCACAACCUGAAUAUCGAGUUUCUUCCAGUGCUCAAAAUGUAUUAGCUGAUCAGCCUCAGCUGUGACAAGGAAAGAAAAUUAUCUGCCGUUUUAACCCGUAUCUCAUACAACUGUGUCAUCCUCCUUCAGUUUCUACUCAACACCUACUGACAAUAUACUGUUUAUGUGAACUUUACAUUUGCUGUGUGCCAUUCCUCUCUUGUAAAACAAACCCAACAUUUUCUACAAAUCAAAAUCAAUCUCUGUGGCAGCAACAAUUCACAAAUUUCACACUCCUCUCAGCAAAGGCAUACAAAGGUCUCCUGAAAUGAAAUUUGUAAAGAAGCAUUUUUGUCCAAGAAACUUUUAAACCUCACAGUUGAAGUUUGGGUUCAUCCUGUCUUUCAGUACAAGACAAGAAGAAAAAAACGAGGAGCUAGACUCUGUAAUAUUUACAAUGAGGAGAGAGUGCAGGAAGAGGACUGCAAAACACAUCAGAAGAAUUGCGAGAGCCACACAUCCGGUCCUGGUGAAGCCCUGAAUCCUUUUCAAGGGAGUUCACCCUUUGAGACGGCAGCUGAUAUUCUCAAAAUAUGGCAUACAAACCAAUCUUUUGUCAUUAACUGAAGGGCUUGGCUGGAUCCCCCCGCUCCUCCCUCAUUUCAGCAGACAUUCUCAUUUCUCUGUCCUUAGCAGUGUACAAUGCCUUAUCCAUAUUCCAGUGAAGCUUUUUGACACUGAACCAGCAGAAGUGCAAAAGCUAGAGAAAGAGGUACAGGAAUUCAGAGGCUCUUAAGUCUCUGUCUCAAGAUAUCAGGUGCUUCACUCCUACAGAAUUUUUUGAACCAGUAGAUUGCUAUUAUCAUGCAAAGUUUCUUUUGGACCACAGCACAUCCUUUACAGAAAACUUUUACAAACUGUUACGUAAGUAACAUUGUUUAAUCUGAAAAUUUUGCUACCAUUUAUGCCUUCUUCAGAUCAGUUAUAAAUAUAACAAAGUCAGGCCUGGAGACCUUUAAGGCACCACUAUCAGCUUUGUAUCAUGAUAAAAAUUUACUAUUUGUUCCUGUGCUUGGCUUUCUGUCUCUAAACUAGCUUAUGUAAUGUGGUACUUCACUUCUCUGUCUGUGACAAUUUAGGUUCCCAAGCCACCACCUUUUUUAAAAAUGAAAAUCAAAAUAAGAUGUAUCAGCAAGUUCUUUACCUUCUGUUUCAGUUACAUGCUCAGAGAAUUCUACCCCAUGAAUGAAACUCAAGGCUGGGUUUUGUUUUGGUUUGCUUUGGUUUGUUUUUUUAAUCAAGCUUGACCUCAAAAGGACUUGUUUUCACUGAGGCAUAAGGAAUAAAAGAAGAAGUAGCAGAAGAUUAAAGAUACGGUAGAUCUCAUUUUUCAGAUACUCCUCUCUCCAUAAUAACUUCCUUAAUUAAGUUUGCAUUUCCAAAAGCAAUGAAAAAUUCUCUCAGAGGAGACGGCACAUAAAUCUUGGCUAGAAACAGCCAGGCUCUUUAGUCUCUCCCACCACUUGAGAGACUUGCCUUGGAACACCUAGUCCCCAGGAUUGCCCUGUGCUGGCUUGGGCACAGUGGGCAGAGGGGAGCACCUCAGAAAAUCUGCAAGACCUGUUUCAUUGCUGCAGAUUCCUGUGGUGGGGUAAGUCCUGCAAGUUGGAUGGGGAACCUCCGCUAAAUAUGCAGAGUCCUGACACAGCCUCCAGCUAUAAAAUUAACUCCCUUACACAGAGAACACAGUCUAGAGGAUAAACUUUAGGGUUUGUUUUAUCACCAGAUAAGCAGGCAAGUUGUUGAGUGUGACUAUCAUCAUGAGUGAUUUAAAAUCUCCCCAGAAACCUUCAGCUUAAAAAUUUGAUUCAAAGUGACAAAAAUAGUGACUUUUAAAAGUGACUUCUGAAUAUGAAUCUUCAGUAAAAAAGGAUUUUUCAGGUUCAGCUUAAUAAGUUAAGCCUACUGAAAAAGUUAUAAAGUGCACAUCUGCAAAAGUUAUAAAGAUACUGAAAUGCUCUUUCAGAUGAAAGAUGGUCAAGUAAACCAAUGCUCCGUCUCUAAAUAAAUCUCAUACACACAGCUCUUUCCAGGAAGGUCUUCAGGGCUUGCAUUACCACCGAUAAUUUUGCCAAAUAAUGGAAAAUGUUUUUAAAAAUCUAUCUUUUGUUCUAAGGGAAAACAGCCAGAAGAUAAACUGUAAUAAAAUAAAACUAAAAUUCUGCCAGAAUGUAGAUUUUAUGUGCAAUGUUCCGUUUAUUUUACCUGUAAAGAUCUGUAAUCUGCCCUUCAUUCCAGCGAUAAUAAAGAUCAUUAAGAAGACA